rnacentral:rRNA from 1 species
GACGAACGCUGGCGGCGUGCUUAACACAUGCAAGUCGAACGCUGAAGCUCAGCUUUUGUUGGGUGGAUGAGUGGCGAACGGGUGAGUAACACGUGAGUAACCUGCCUCCUUCUUUGGGAUAACGCCCGGAAACGGGUGCUAAUACUGGAUAUUCACUGGUCUUCGCAUGGGGGUUGGUGGAAAGGGUUUUUCUGGUGGGGGAUGGGCUCGCGGCCUAUCAGCUUGUUGGUGGGGUGAUGGCCUACCAAGGCUUUGACGGGUAGCCGGCCUGAGAGGGUGACCGGGCACAUUGGGACUGAGAUACGGCCCAGACUACUACGGGAGGCAGCAGUGGGGAAUAUUGCACAAUGGGCGCAAGCCUGAUGCAGCGACGCCGCGUGAGGGAUGGAGGCCUUCGGGUUGUGAACCUCUUUCGCUCAUGGUCAAGCCGCAACAAUGGUUGUGGUGAGGGUAGUGGGUAAAGAAGCGCCGGCUAACUACGUG